AAUAGAUACCCUGGUAGUCCACGCCGUAAACGGUGGGCACUAGAUGUGGGGCUCUUUCCAUGAGUUCCGCGUCGCAGCUAACGCAUUAAGUGCCCCGCCUGGGGAGUACGGCCGCAAGGCUAAAACUCAAAGGAAUUGACGGGGGCCCGCACAAGCGGCGGAGCAUGCGGAUUAAUUCGAUGCAACGCGAAGAACCUUACCAAGGCUUGACAUAUACGGUCUAUCCCUAGAGAUAGGGAGUGCUUCGGCGCCGUAUACAGGUGGUGCAUGGUUGUCGUCAGCUCGUGUCGUGAGAUGUUGGGUUAAGUCCCGCAACGAGCGCAACCCUCGUCCUAUGUUGCCAGCGGAUAAUGCCGGGGACUCAUGGGAGACUGCCGGGGUCAACUCGGAGGAAGGUGGGGAUGAGGUCAAAUCAUCAUGCCCCUUAUGUCUUGGGCUUCACGCAUGCUACAAUGGCCGGUACAAAGGGCUGCAAUACCGCGAGGUGGAGCGAAUCCCAAAAACGCCGGUCUCAGUUCGGAUUG
rnacentral:rRNA from 1 species